CUACUGGGGUAUCUAAUCCUGUUCGCUCCCCAUGCUUUCGCUUCUCAGUGUCAGUAAUGGCCCAGAGACCUGCCUUCGCCAUCGGUGUUCUUCCUGAUAUCUGCGCAUAUCACCGCUACACCAGGAGUUCCAGUCUCCCCUACCACACUCUAGCCUGCCCGUACCCACCGCACGCCCGAGGUUGAGCCUCGGGUUUUCACGGCAGACGCGACAAGCCACCUACAAGCUCUUUACGCCCAAUAAUUCCGGACAACGCUUGCGCCCUACGUAUUACCGCGGCGGCUGGCAC
rnacentral:rRNA from 1 species